rnacentral:rRNA from 1 species
ACCGAUAGCGCACAAGUACCGUGAGGGAAAGGUGAAAAGAACCGUGGGUAACGGAGUGAAAUAGAACCUGAAACCAUCUACUUACAAUCAUUCAGAGCCCUAUGAUUUAUCAGGGUGAUGGACUGCCUUUUGCAUAAUGAUCCUGCGAGUUGUGGUGUCUGGCAAGGUUAAGUGAAAACGAGCCGUAGCGAAAGCGAGUCUGAAUAGGGCUAUUUAGUCAGACGCUGCAGACCCGAAGCCAAGUGAUCUAUCCAUGGCCAAGUUGAAACGAGUGUAACAGCUUGUGGAGGACUGAACCCGUGCCCAUUGAAACGGGCUGGGAUGAGCUGUGGAUAGGGGUGAAAGGCCAAACAAACUUGGUGAUAGCUGGUUCUCUUCGAAAUAUAUUUAGGUAUAGCCUCAAGUCAUGACAAGAGGGGGUAGAGCUCUGAUUGGGCUAGGGCUGCUCGCCGCAGUACCAAACCCUGUCAAACUGCGAAUACCUUUUGUUGUAUCUUGGGAGUCAGGCGGUGGGUGAUAAAAUCAAUCGUCAAGAGGGAAACAACCCAGACUACCAACUAAGGUCCCCAAGUUCUAUUCUGAGUGGAAAAAGAUGUGUGGUUACUCAAACAACCAGGAGGUUGGCUUAGAAGCAGCCAUCCUUUAAAGAAAGCGUAACAGCUCACUGGUCUAGUGAUCAUGCGCUGAAAAUAUAACGGGGCUAAGAUAGACACCGAAGUUGUAGAUUAUGUUUCACACAUAGUGGUAGAAGAGCGUUCUGUGCAGCACUGAAGGCAUACCGGUAAGGAGUGUUGGAGCGCACAGAAGUGAGCAUGCAGGAAUGAGUAGCGAUAAGAUGCGUAAGAAUCGUAUCCGCCGUAAAUCUAAGGUUUCCUACGCGAUGUUCGUCAUCGUAGGGUUAGUCGGGUCCUAAGCCAAGUCCAAAAGGGGUAGGCGAUGGCAAAUGGGUUAAUAUUCCCAUACCAAUUGCAAUGUGCGAUGGGAGGACGCAUAAAGUUAGGCGAGCCAGCUGAUGGAAGUGCUGGUCGAAGGGUGUAGAUUGGGAGAGUGGCAAAUCCGCUCCUGUAUUUGAAACCUGACAGGCUCUCUAAGACCUUCGGGUCAAGGGGAGAAUCGCUGAUACUAUCGUGCCAAGAAAAGUCUCUAAGUUUAGUUGCAAUUGUCCGUACCGCAAACCGACACAGGUAGAUGAGAUGAGUAUUCUAAGGCGCGUGGAUGAACUCUCUUUAAGGAACUCUGCAAACUAGCACCGUAAGUUCGCGAUAAGGUGUGCCUACUCUAAGUAGGUCUCAGCAAAGAGUCCCUCCCGACUGUUUACCAAAAACACAGCACUUUGCCAACUCGUAAGAGGAAGUAUAAGGUGUGACGCCUGCCCGGUGCUCGAAGGUUAAGAGGAUGGGUUAGCCGCAAGGCGAAGCUUUGAAUUGAAGCCCGAGUAAACGGCGGGCGGAACUAUAANACCGAUAGCGCACAAGUACCGUGAGGGAAAGGUGAAAAGAACCGUGGGUAACGGAGUGAAAUAGAACCUGAAACCAUCUACUUACAAUCAUUCAGAGCCCUAUGAUUUAUCAGGGUGAUGGACUGCCUUUUGCAUAAUGAUCCUGCGAGUUGUGGUGUCUGGCAAGGUUAAGUGAAAACGAGCCGUAGCGAAAGCGAGUCUGAAUAGGGCUAUUUAGUCAGACGCUGCAGACCCGAAGCCAAGUGAUCUAUCCAUGGCCAAGUUGAAACGAGUGUAACAGCUUGUGGAGGACUGAACCCGUGCCCAUUGAAACGGGCUGGGAUGAGCUGUGGAUAGGGGUGAAAGGCCAAACAAACUUGGUGAUAGCUGGUUCUCUUCGAAAUAUAUUUAGGUAUAGCCUCAAGUCAUGACAAGAGGGGGUAGAGCUCUGAUUGGGCUAGGGCUGCUCGCCGCAGUACCAAACCCUGUCAAACUGCGAAUACCUUUUGUUGUAUCUUGGGAGUCAGGCGGUGGGUGAUAAAAUCAAUCGUCAAGAGGGAAACAACCCAGACUACCAACUAAGGUCCCCAAGUUCUAUUCUGAGUGGAAAAAGAUGUGUGGUUACUCAAACAACCAGGAGGUUGGCUUAGAAGCAGCCAUCCUUUAAAGAAAGCGUAACAGCUCACUGGUCUAGUGAUCAUGCGCUGAAAAUAUAACGGGGCUAAGAUAGACACCGAAGUUGUAGAUUGCUCUUUUAGAGCAGUGGUAGAAGAGCGUUCUGUGCAGCACUGAAGGCAUACCGGUAAGGAGUGUUGGAGCGCACAGAAGUGAGCAUGCAGGAAUGAGUAGCGAUAAGAUGCGUAAGAAUCGUAUCCGCCGUAAAUCUAAGGUUUCCUACGCGAUGUUCGUCAUCGUAGGGUUAGUCGGGUCCUAAGCCAAGUCCAAAAGGGGUAGGCGAUGGCAAAUGGGUUAAUAUUCCCAUACCAAUUGCAAUGUGCGAUGGGAGGACGCAUAAAGUUAGGCGAGCCAGCUGAUGGAAGUGCUGGUCGAAGGGUGUAGAUUGGGAGAGUGGCAAAUCCGCUCCUGUAUUUGAAACCUGACAGGCUCUCUAAGACCUUCGGGUCAAGGGGAGAAUCGCUGAUACUAUCGUGCCAAGAAAAGUCUCUAAGUUUAGUUGCAAUUGUCCGUACCGCAAACCGACACAGGUAGAUGAGAUGAGUAUUCUAAGGCGCGUGGAUGAACUCUCUUUAAGGAACUCUGCAAACUAGCACCGUAAGUUCGCGAUAAGGUGUGCCUACUCUAAGUAGGUCUCAGCAAAGAGUCCCUCCCGACUGUUUACCAAAAACACAGCACUUUGCCAACUCGUAAGAGGAAGUAUAAGGUGUGACGCCUGCCCGGUGCUCGAAGGUUAAGAGGAUGGGUUAGCCGCAAGGCGAAGCUUUGAAUUGAAGCCCGAGUAAACGGCGGCCGUAACUAUAACGGUCCUANUCCCCGCCGUAAAUCUAAGGUUUCCUACGCGAUGUUCGUCAUCGUAGGGUUAGUCGGGUCCUAAGCCAAGUCCAAAAGGGGUAGGCGAUGGCAAAUGGGUUAAUAUUCCCAUACCAAUUGCAAUGUGCGAUGGGAGGACGCAUAAAGUUAGGCGAGCCAGCUGAUGGAAGUGCUGGUCGAAGGGUGUAGAUUGGGAGAGUGGCAAAUCCGCUCCUGUAUUUGAAACCUGACAGGCUCUCUAAGACCUUCGGGUCAAGGGGAGAAUCGCUGAUACUAUCGUGCCAAGAAAAGUCUCUAAGUUUAGUUGCAAUUGUCCGUACCGCAAACCGACACAGGUAGAUGAGAUGAGUAUUCUAAGGCGCGUGGAUGAACUCUCUUUAAGGAACUCUGCAAACUAGCACCGUAAGUUCGCGAUAAGGUGUGCCUACUCUAAGUAGGUCUCAGCAAAGAGUCCCUCCCGACUGUUUACCAAAAACACAGCACUUUGCCAACUCGUAAGAGGAAGUAUAAGGUGUGACGCCUGCCCGGUGCUCGAAGGUUAAGAGGAUGGGUUAGCCGCAAGGCGAAGCUUUGAAUUGAAGCCCGAGUAAACGGCGGCCGUAACUAUAACGGUCCUAAGGUAGCGAAAUUCCUUGUCGGUUAAAUACCGACCUGCAUGAAUGGCGUAACGAGAUGGGAGCUGUCUCAAAGAGAGAUCCAGUGAAAUUGUAGUGGAGGUGAAAAUUCCUCCUACCCGCAGCAAGACGGAAAGACCCCGUGGACCUUUACUAUAGCUUAGCACUGCUAAUGGGAAUGCCAUGCGCAGGAUAGGUGGGAGGCUGUGAAGUAAGGGCUUUGGCUCUUAUGGAGCCAUCCUUGAGAUACCACCCUUGGCGUUUUUGUUAGCUAACUGGCCUAAGUCAUCCUUAGGCAGGACAAUGCUUGGUGGGUAGUUUGACUGGGGCGGUCGCCUCCUAAAAAGUAACGGAGGCUUACAAAGGUUAGCUCAUGGCGGUUGGAAAUCGCCAGCUGAGUGUAAUGGCACAAGCUAGCUUAACUGCAAGAGAGACAACUCAAGCAGGGACGAAAGUCGGUCAUAGUGAUCCGGUGGUUCUCGUGUGGAAGAGCCAUCGCUCAAAGGAUAAAAGGUACCCCGGGGAUAACAGGCUGAUCUCCCCCAAGAGCUCACAUCGACGGGGAGGUUUGGCACCUCGAUGUCGGCUCAUCGCAUCCUGGGGCUGGAGCAGGUCCCAAGGGUAUGGCUGUUCGCCAUUUAAAGCGGUACGCGAGCUGGGUUCAGAACGUCGUGAGACAGUUCGGUCCCUAUCUGCUGUGGGCGUAGGAAAGCUGAGGAGAGCUGUCCCUAGUACGAGAGGACCGGGAUGGACAUGCCACUGGUGCACCAGUUGUUCUGCCAAGAGCACCGCUGGGUAGCCACGCAUGGUUGUGAUAAGAGCUGAAAGCAUCUAAGCUCGAAGCCAACUCCAAGAUAAGCUUUCCCUGAAGCUCGCAUGAAGACUACAUGUUUGAUAGGGUGGGUGUGUAAGUGCAGCAAUGCAUUUAGCUAACCACUACUAAUAGAGCGUUUGGCUUGUUUGC